rnacentral:rRNA from 1 species
AACGAACGCUGGCGGCAUGCCUAACACAUGCAAGUCGAACGAUGCCUUCGGGCAUAGUUGCGCACGGGUGCGUAACGCGUGGGAAUCUGCCCUUGGCUUCGGAAUAACAGUUAGAAAUGACUGCUAAUACCGGAUGAUGUCCCCCUGAGAGAUCUUGGGGACCAAAGAUUUAUCGGCCAGGGAUGAGCCCGCGUAGGAUUAGGUAGUUGGUGGGGUAAAGGCCUACCAAGCCGACGAUCCUUAGCUGGUCUGAGAGGAUGAUCAGCCACACUGGGACUGAGACACGGCCCAGACUCCUACGGGAGGCAGCAGUGGGGAAUAUUGGACAAUGGGGGGAACCCUGAUCCAGCAAUGCCGCGUGAGUGAUGAAGGCCUUAGGGUUGUAAAGCUCUUUUACCAGGGAUGAUAAUGACAGUACCUGGAGAAUAAGCUCCGGCUAACUCCGUG